GAUGAACGCUGGCGGCGUGCCUAACACAUGCAAGUCGAGCGAUUCUCUUCGGAGAAGAGCGGCGGACGGGUGAGUAACGCGUGGGUAACCUGCCCUGUACACACGGAUAACAUACCGAAAGGUAUGCUAAUACGAGAUAAUAUGCUUUUAUCGCAUGGUAGAAGUAUCAAAGCUCCGGCGGUACAGGAUGGACCCGCGUCUGAUUAGCUAGUUGGUAAGGUAACGGCUUACCAAGGCGACGAUCAGUAGCCGACCUGAGAGGGUGAUCGGCCACGUUGGAACGGCGACACGGUCCAGACUCCUACGGGAGGCAGCAGUGGGGAAUAUUGCACAAUGGGCGAAAGCCUGAUGCAGCAACGCCGCGUGAGUGAUGAAGGCCUUCGGGUCGUAAAGCUCUGUCCUCAAGGAAGAUAAUGACGGUACUUGAGGAGGAAGCCCCGGCUAACUACGUGCCAGCCGCCGCCGUAA
rnacentral:rRNA from 1 species